rfam:Papio anubis isolate 1X1155 chromosome 17, whole genome shotgun sequence.
AAGAUGGUUUUUUUAAAAACCACAUUUUGCUACUUAUAAAACUAUU